rnacentral:lncRNA from 1 species
CAUAAUGUUAAUAAUUUACAAAUCAAAAACUGAAAAGAAAACAUAUGGUGAAGAGGAAAAGUUAAUUAAGAACCAGACUUUGGAUGACCAUGGAGAAACAGCAGAAAUAGAAUUGCUAAUCGACGUUGCUGAAAUAUUACGCCCUAUCUUAAAUUCAUGCAUGUGUGAUUUUUUAUAUCUUUUGGGUACAUAUCCCCACAUCUAACAAGAUGAGGCGGUUAAAUACGUGUAGUACCGGAGGGGCCAUCCCACCCAAUGUGUGCCACAUGCGUAACAUCUGUUGGUAAUCCAGUCUCCAUUUCAGGCUCAUAACUGUUGAAAAAUGAGAAAUUCUACUAUGGGUCCAUUAAUUCGAGUAUCAAAAUUACUUACUCAAUAUGUAGAGGAUAGAAAAUUCGAGGGUCAGGAGAGAUGAUUAUGGAGUAAACAUCCAGGAUUAUUUUCAAAAUAUGAGAUAGUUAUGAAUUACCUUGAAAAGAACAAGUGGCGUCUUUCAGAUUGGUGGCCGCCAAUUUCACCGGAGAGACACUGGAGGCUAGAUUUUGAAGCUGUAAGAGAAAGAAGGGCCUUCACACUUGAACACAGCUUUAUUUCAGGAUCAGUUUCAUGCUUUUUAUUUCAGGUUGGUCAGUUUUGGGGAGAGUGAACAUAAAUCGACCUCACCCACAUAAGUUAAAUUGUAAAUUUUCCAGUUUAUUAUUAGCCUCAGGUCAAUUUUUUGGUAGGUAAAAGAUAUAUCUUCCCGUCAAAUUUUGCUGUAAAGAAAAAAUAUAAUAUUUCGUGGGCACACGUUCUUUUAUUAUUAAAAUUUUGAAUCAAAUCAUAGCAUUACGAAAUGUCCUUUUUAUUAUUAUUAUUAUUAUUUUUUUUUGUUUAAAGAAAAGUGAACUCUCU